rnacentral:rRNA from 1 species
CCUACGGGUGGCAGCAGUAGGGAAUUUUCGUCAAUGGGCGCAAGCCUGAACGAGCAAUGCCGCGUGAACGAGGAAGGUCUUCGGAUCGUAAAGUUCUGUUGAAGGGGAAAAAGAGCGGAGAGAGGAAAUGCUUUCUGAUUGAUAUUACCCUUCGAGGAAGUCACGGCUAACUACGUGCCAGCAGCCGCGGUAAUACGUAGGUGGCGAGCGUUAUCCGGAAUGAUUGGGCGUAAAGAGGGAGCAGGCGGCAGCUAAGGUCUGCGGUGAAAGCCCGAAGCUAAACUUCGGUAAGCCGUGGAAACCGAGCAGCUAGAGUGCAGUAGAGGAUCGUGGAAUUCCAUGUGUAGCGGUGAAAUGCGUAGAUAUAUGGAGGAACACCAGUGGCGAAGGCGACGAUCUGGGCUGCAACUGACGCUCAGUCCCGAAAGCGUGGGGAGCAAAUAGGAUUAGAUACCCCAGUAGUC